rnacentral:rRNA from 1 species
ACGCUCGACACCUACGGGAGGCAGCAGUGGGGAAUAUUGCACAAUGGGGGAAACCCUGAUGCAGCGACGCCGCGUGAGUGAAGAAGUAUUUCGGUAUGUAAAGCUCUAUCAGCAGGGAAGAAGAUGACGGUACCUGAGUAAGAAGCCCCGGCUAACUACGUGCCAGAAGCCGCGGUAAUCUGAGCGGGCUGGCAAGGC